AGGAGGACAAAGCUUUACAAAGGAGGACAAAGCUUUACAAAGGAGGACAAAGCUUUACAAAGGAAGACAAAGCUUUACAAAGGAGGACAAAGCUUUACAAAGGAGGACAAAGCUUUACAAAGGAGGACAAAGCUUUACAAAGGAGGACAAAGCUUUACAAAGGAGGACAAAAAAAAAGAGUGAGACAAAAGUUAAGUUUAAAUUUGGAAGACUAACAAUGUUAUUGAUGAAAUAAAUCAUAGGCUGUAAAACUGUAAUAUUAAACAUUAAUAUUUCUCCGACCGAUGUACUGUGGGCAUGACAAUGCUUCAUUCAUAAGUGAACUACCAGAAUGUAGGAAGCCAGGAGAAUGAUUGAAUUUGAUUGCUUGAUAAUAAGUCAUACAGUAAACAAUGAAGUAAACGUCCGACUUUAUUACAUUUCAGGCCAAUAUCUACGUGACGCAAUCUUUUAGUAAUUCAUUACAUCAGUUAAGUAGUGGUGAGGAUAAGGCCUACGAGAAACUCAUUAGCCUAUCAACCUAUUAACAAUCUGGCAAAAGUGUACUGUAAUUCUUACAAGGCUGAUUUACACAAGUGGUGGGACUAGAUAACGGCUGACACCUAACACCUUUCCUAAUGGAUCUUGGGCUAACCAUGCGUCAAUAUUGCUGAUAAGCGAAUCAAGGGACAACAAUUUGUUAACAAUUUUUUUGUCAGUAAAUAACGAGGAUCCAUCGAAGAGCUCUCCUCCCCAUGUGGAACUGCUCAUAAUAUCUUUCCUUUCUUCCUCACUACCCGGCACCUGUUGGGUUCUAGAACUUGAAGACGCUGGAUGUUGUUUUUCCAAGCUCAUCAUCUCUGUUUAUGGACGUUUCCAAAGUGUCACGCUGAAAUUUAUUGUGGCCUCUUUGUCGUCAGAUCAAGCAAUUACUUGUACUUUAGCACAUCAGUUCUAUCAACUGCUUAUUAUAAGAUGUUACAAGAUUAAGUCCUGACUUUGAGAAAGCUAUCAGAUCCAGUUUCAAUCUAAUCAAAUGUUACAAGAUUAAGUCCUGACUUUGAGAAAGCUAUCAGAUCCAGUUUCAAUCUAAUCAAAUGUUACAAGAUCAAGUCCUGACUUUGAGAAAGCUAUCAGAUCCAGUUUCAAUCUAAUCAAAUUUUAUAAGAUCAAGUCCUGAUUUUGAGGAAGUUCUCAGUCAGUACUGUUAUUCUGUGAGAGGGCAAAAACCACUUGGUUACAUAACAUGAGGGCUUGAGUUUGAAUCCCAACUCUAGCAAAGUUGUGUUUGAUGAACAUCUAAAGUCAGCAUGGAAACCUUCUCCCAGAUACCCACUUCCCCCACUGGACAACAAAAGAGAUUGGACCAGACUGCUAUAAGCAGGAAAGAUCAAAUGGAUUUUUGGAAAUUAGGCUUCAAUGAAAACAGAUACAAUUGUUGUUAAGAUUGAUGAAUUUUCAGGGUCAGUGACAUGAAGACCACUGGAUACUUAAAGGUGUUGAAAUACUUUCAUUGAAAAAUAUCGUCUGUGUCAGUGACAUGAAGGCCACUGGAUACUUAAAGGUGUUGAAAUACAUUCACAAACAAUACUCUCUAGUAGAAGUGCCUGAUCACUCAGAGGAGACUUUGAAUAUAUAGUAUCUGACAAUGAGCUGCUUACUCUGAUACAGCAAAUAUAAACAAAGGUGUCUGCAGCCAUUCUUUAGUAGUACAUCAAGAACAACCUCAUUGAUCUAAACCACAGUGAUACCAUCCCCUCAAAAAUUGAGAAUCUAUGGAUGAGAGCUGAAGGUAAAUAAAAGUUUUUUUGUUUUAUUUCAAGAUGAUUGUGUACUAUUACUGUUGUAUUUCUUCUCUUGCCAUUGUUUUGGCUGGUGUAGACGAUGUUUCAUAUUAACUAUUAUAAUGUAUUAUAAUGUUUAAUAUACUUGAGAAAACUGCUUCUAGAACAGCUUGAUAUAAACUGGCAGUCAUUAUGUACACUAAAUCUAUGCUAGAUGUUAUCUCGGUUGAACUCUUCUUUCCUUGAAGUCACUUACUCUCUAGCCCUUGACAGUGAUAUAAAAAUAGGACUGAAAUCUUUUAGAGUAAUGUCCCCCUGUCAAACCUUGCGAUCUACAGGACAGAUGAUGUUAAGGUCAUCUGUUUCUUUGAAAAAUGGUUCACUAGCAGGGUGUCAUGGCCAGCACAA